GCAUCAGAUGAUUAAGGAUGAUUAACUACCCUUGUUGAUGUUCUCCAGCAGCUGAGAAGUCAACUUAUGGGUUAUGCCACAGAGAACAGAUAUAUAAAUGUGGAGAUAUCAACUUGGGAGUGAACACCAAAGGCAUGAACAGUGACACCCUAAAAAUCCAUGAUAUCCUCUAAGAACUGUGGUAAGAAUAGAAGUAAGAGAUAGCAAGAGAGAAUCCAGUGGAAUGUUAUUGGAAUCCAAUGGAAUACCAACAUUUAAGAAAUGGAAAUAGAAUUCGUAAUGUAGCUGAGUAAUCCAGGAAGAUAUGUUGGAACAAUAUCCACCAUACUUGCACUGUCGCAUUUCAGCCGAAGUUGAGUAUAAAAUGGAUUCCACUUUGUCUCCCAAUCUGAGCAAAAUGUUUAUGAUAUUAACAGCUAAUAUUUCAGCUUCUAUUACCAGUCCUGGAAAUGGCAGAAAGACGCUUUUACAGAAGAACACUUCAACACUCAUGGAUGAUGGUGGUUUCGUAUGGAUCAAGCGGGCAUAUUCCCUGUAACAUUACUUAUCGGGAAGGAAGCAGGCGCAGCGGGUUGAAGAUGGUCCAGAUUUCACUCCAAUCAGUAUAUGUGCUGAAAACACUCAAAAAGUACAAGUUGGUAGUAAGGCGGCCCAUCCACAUAAAGCAUUCCAGAAACUCACUGAGAAUGUGUAUUAUUAUCUAAUGGGCCUUGGACAAUGAGUGGUUUAGAGAAAACUGAAUUUUUGAGGGUCCGUACUGGAUAAAUAUUAUAUUGAGUCAGAAGUUGGCUUCCACAGGGAGUUCUUACGCCACUACCACAGAGUAAUCAGAACUCAUUGACAAUAUUUACAGUAGUUGAGAUGGUUUGACUUGAUCCUGAAAGUAAGAAGACCUUGGGAAUAUAAAUCAUAAAAUAUUGAUUUAUGGUUCACUGUAAGGUGUUCCACCAACUUCAUAUACUAAAUUUCACCUCAGAUACCAGAAACAUUUCUGCCGUCAGCAACGCUGGAGCUUGGAGGGAGAUAUGUGACUUAGAAGGCAAUCUUUUCAGGGCUUAAGAACAUGAGUUUUGAAAUAAGAUAUGGUUUAAACACUAGCUUUUUAGUUUCUAAGCUAUGUGGCUUUAUUAACUUACCUACAAAGAAUAUACCAAAAUAUGGGGCAUAAUAAACAUUCAGUAAAUGGUAGCUCUUAUAACUACUUGUAUAUUUUUUGAAUGGCUGGGUUCUAAAUGCCUACAGUCCAGCUAUAGCUGCAAUGCUAGGAAAAUACAAGUCAGAGCACUGAGACUUUAACAUGUACUUAAACACUGUCUAAUCUUAAGACAUGAUAGGUACCAAAUACAACUUGUCAGGACUUCUGUGUUCAAUUUUAUGAGAAGGAAUAAUAAACUUAUGAUAAAGGAAAA